CAAUAUAAAAAAGCUGACUAGAUUAAUAGUUGUAAUGCUGAAGACUUUUUUAACGGAUCAUGUAUUUGACAAAGGAUAUUGUGCUUAGAAUGAAAGUUGGCUUAGAAGAAUUCUGUAUUGUUGGCUUUGAAAGUUGAUGGAUCCAUAAACCUGUUUAAAAAUCACUGCGUAAAUACAUAUGUUGAAGCGAUUACAAGUGGUAGACAACAUGAUCUGCUUCCCUGCACUAGCAUGUGUGUCAUGAUGUGAAUCAUUACUGGAAAUGUACAAAUUGAAUAAGGCAUUAUCUUCAAGAUGAUCUGCAAACAGAAUGCAAGGCAAGGUAAAUACUUCCCAGCAUCUCCUGUUCUAGAUUGGUCUGUACAGUAUUGAGAUUACACUUGGAGAUAACAUGAGUCCACUUGGAGACAAUGGAAACACUCAGGUGGCAGAAUUGUAAGUGGUUGAGCAUUGUCCAUCACCUGUGCAAACACGCCAACACGCCAUGGCUACCACGAUGUGCCGAUUGGCUUUUUUCGCAGGUACGGUCUGCCAAGAUGGACUUUCACACAGUUUGGCCGGAUUGAUGUAAUUGCUGUUAAUUUGAUGUAAAAUACCCGAAGGUUUAACUUAUCUCUGUCAGUGUUUAAUUUUGAAAUCUUCUCAAACAUUUGACAAAGUUGGUCUGGUUAAUUGUUACAGUUAUGUAGAGUUGCCUGGGAAACGCUGCGAAGCUACCCUCCACAAGUAGGAUAUGCGUUUGAUAUAGAUACGUUUCCAAGGGGGGACCUGCAAUACAGAUGACCGUGUUAUCACUCUCAAGAGCUACCUUCAAGAUAGGCCGCUUUGGUGAAUUCUCUCUAAUCUGUUUUCAGGUGUUUGUGAAACAAUGAUACCGCUGUCAUGGAUGAUUUUAUUCUUCUUAAGCCACUUGACAGAAAUCAAACUCACUUCACGGAAUUAAAGGGUUGAUUCAAUUGGCAUGUAUCGACAAAAAAGGAUAAAAUGGUAUUUUGAUGAACAAAGGGUUAUCUUACUUGAAACAUAUGUUUGUGCAUGUGUCUAGAAAUGUGAGGAUUGAUGGUGUUUGGCAGAAUCAAGGAUUAAAAUGAUACUAUCUGUGAUGAUAGGUUUUGUCUUAAUAAUCGAUUUGUUUUGUUUUGAGUGAUAUUGAUCUUGAAUCUGGUUCAACAAGGUGAUCAUGCCCCACACUUUAAUAUAGACUUCACCACUGUCAUAGUGCUGUGGUCGGGUUGUGGAAUGUGGCUGUCCCAUUCCAAUUUAAAAGAAAAUAGUUAUUAUUUUAUACCUCUUCUGUCAUCAGUCAUGGAAUGUUUAGGUCUAUGUAAUAUGUUGAGGAUAUGUAUUGAUGUUUCCAGCUGGACUUUAACAGGACCUGUUGUAGACAUUGUAGAUUGUUUCACUUCCCUUCAACACUGAAUCACUUUGAAGUUUGAACAAUAUAGCAUUUGUUUUCCAUCAACACAAAAACAUUCAAUCAGUGUUCUAGGGCAUCAAUAGAAGUGAUUUUGUGGUGUUGACCAAAUUUUAUUCACCACAAUUAAAGUAUGGAAAACAGACAAGGGGGUGGGGUGGGUGAAGAUGUGCAUGAAAUUAUCUGCAAGAAAAUAUAGUCUUCAUGAAUGUUAUUCUUGACACAAAUCAUAUUCUUUAUCUUGAGUAUUUACUGGCAUUGUAUGAGACAU